rnacentral:rRNA from 1 species
UGAAUACGAGACGCUAAGGCGUCGAAGUAGUGUAUGUCAUACUUCCAAGAAAAGCUUGCACUGUCAUAAGUAAAAAAUGCCUGUACCAUAACCGACACAGGUGGGUAGGUAGAGUAUACUAAGGGGCGCGAGAUAACUCUCUCUAAGGAACUCGGCAAAAUAACUCCGUAACUUCGGGAGAAGGAGUACCUUAUUCUAUAAGGUUGCAAUAACAAGAUCCAAGCAACUGUUUAUCAAAAACACAGGUCUCCGCUAAGUCGUAAGACGAUGUAUGGGGGCUGACGCCUGCCCAGUGCCAGAAGGUUAAAGAAGUCGGUUAGCAUUAGCGAAGCUGGUAACUGAAGCCCUGGUGAACGGCGGCCGUAACAAUAACGGUCCUAAGGUAGCGAAAUUCCUUGUCGGGUAAGUUCCGACCCGCACGAAAGGCGUAAUGAUUUGGAUACUGUCUCGGAGAGGGGCUCGGUGAAAUAGACUUGUCUGUGAAGAUGCGGACUACCUGCACCAGGACAGAAAGACCCUAUGAAGCUUUACUGUAACUUGAAAUUGAAAUUGGACUUUAUUCGCGCAGUAUAGGUGGGAGGUGUUGAUUAUAAUCUUGCGGGAUUAUUGGAGCCAUCAGUGAGAUACCACUCUUGUAAUGUUAGAUUUCUAACUUUGAAUCAUUAUCUGGUCAAAGGACAGUUUCAGGCGGGCAGUUUGACUGGGGCGGUCGCCUCCCAAACGGUAACGGAGGCGUACAAAGGUUUCCUCUGAACGGGUAGAAAUCGUAUCUAGAGUGUAAAGGCAUAAGGAAGCUUGACUGUGAGACCUACAAGUCGAACAGGGACGAAAGUCGGUCUUAGUGAUCUGACGGUACUGAGUGGAAAGGCCGUCACUCAACGGAUUAAAGUUACUCUAAGGAUAACAGGCUGAUCUCCCCCAAGAGUUCACAUCGACGGGGAGGUUUGGCACCUCGAUGUCGGCUCAUCGCAUCCUGGGGCGGUAGUACGUCCCAAGGGUUGGGCUGUUCGCCCAUGAAAGCGGUACGCGAGCUGGGUUCAGAACGUCGUGAGACAGUUCGGUCCAUAUCCGGUGUAGGCGUUAGAAUAUUGAGAGGAGCCUUCUUUAGUACGAGAGGACCGAGAAGGACAUACCUCUGGUGUACCAGUUAUCGUGCCAACGGUAAACGCUGGGUAGCUAUGUAUGGAGUGGAUAACCGCUGAAAGCAUCUAAGUGGGAAGCCCACCUCAAGAUAAG